rnacentral:tRNA from 1 species
UUAUUACUUUGGCAGAUUAGUGCAAUGAAUUUAGAAUUCAAAAAUAUAAUUUUUAUUAUAGGUA